AUUGAACGCUGGCGGCAUGCCUUACACAUGCAAGUCGAACGGCAGCACGGGAGCAAUCCUGGUGGCGAGUGGCGAACGGGUGAGUAAUACAUCGGAACGUGCCCAAUCGUGGGGGAUAACGCAGCGAAAGCUGUGCUAAUACCGCAUACGAUCUACGGAUGAAAGCAGGGGAUCGCAAGACCUUGCGCGAAUGGAGCGGCCGAUGGCAGAUUAGGUAGUUGGUGAGGUAAAUGCUCACCAAGCUGUCCAUCUGUAGCUGGUUUAAUUUUUUAC
rnacentral:rRNA from 1 species